CUCGAACUAGGGUCGCUCCUUGAUAAAUUCAUUGGUAUUAGCCUUGCAUGCUAUCCCGGAUUCGAGAUUGGUCAGUUUUGAGAGGCUAGGUUUUCCAAUUAGACCUUCAUUCAAAGAUUCAACCAAUUAGGCUUGAUUCGAGGGAAAGUAUUUGUAGAUUUGCGGAGUGAGGAUGGAGAAGAGUGUAGGGUGUAUUUUUGGAGUUAAUUGGAGGCCGGUCGCGGCAGAGAAAUCAAGGGCGACGCCCUAGGGUUUGGGAAUAGCGGUGGUUUCUAGUGAGGUUUGAGGGAAGUGAAUGGUGAAACGAGUAUGAGGAGGAGGAGAUGAGUCUUUGGUAUAACUUUGGUGGCUAUAGGGGACUUGCCUCCACCGCGAAGCGAUGCGGCUGCAGUGGAUGGUGGCGUUACAUGGGGUAGUCUGA
rnacentral:lncRNA from 1 species